rnacentral:rRNA from 1 species
CCUACGGGAGGCAGCAGUGGGGAAUCUUGCGCAAUGCACGAAAGUGUGACGCAGCAACGCCGCGUGGAGGAAGAAGGCUCUCGGGUCGUAAACUCCUUUCAGUUGGGACGAAGCUUCGUCGGUUAAUAGCCGGCUGGAGUGACGGUACCUUCACAAGAAGCACCGGCUAACUACGUGCCAGCAGCCGCGGUAAUACGUAGGGUGCAAGCGUUGUCCGGAAUCAUUGGGCGUAAAGAGCGUGUAGGCGGCCCGAUUAGUCCGCUGUGAAAGUCCAGGGCUCAACCCUGGAAUGCCGGUGGAUACUGUCGGGCUCGAGUCCGGAAGAGGCGAGUGGAAUUCCUGGUGUAGCGGUGAAAUGCGCAGAUAUCAGGAAGAACACCAACGGCGAAGGCAGCUCGCUGGGACGGUACUGACGCUGAGACGCGAAAGCGUGGGGAGCAAACAGGAUUAGAUACCCUGGUAGUCCACGCCGUAAACGAUGGGUACUAGGUAGUGGGGGUGUCGACUCCCCCGUGCCGAGCUAACGCAUUAAGUACCCGCCUGGGGAGUACGGCCGCAGGCUAAACGUCAAACUGAAGUUGACGG